CGACGCUUACACAUAACCUCAAAAGUUUGCUUGUUUAUUUUUCUAGAUUUAAUACCAUAGCGAUAAAUGUAAUUUAUGCAAAAAAUAUUACACGUGAUAAAGUGUAAUAAUAAACAACAAGUGUGAUAUUCCUGUUAAAAAUAUGUUCACAUAACGUAACAAACGCACAUAGUAACCGUACAACGAUUCUAAUCGGAUAUCUUUAUUACCAGUUUGUUAUUUGGGAUUUCAAUCAUUUCUUAAUGCAUAUUACACAUUAAAAGUUCACAAAAUAGUGUAGUGAGUGCCAUUUCAUAGUUCGGUGAAUAUAAAAGUGUGGGUUUCUUGUUGAUUGUGUGAAGGAAUGAAAACAAGAUGUAAAUCAAGCAUCCUACGUGCGCAGCGUCCGUGGCGCCCAACUCCUUCUUUUCAACCACUUCGUGUACCGCCAGGUCUCCAAAGCUAACCGCGAAGGCAACAGAAGCUGGUACUGCGCCAUGUACGGCACCAACCAAUGCCCUUCUAUCCUCACAACGGAUGCCCAGGACCAUAUCGUGCAGAUCCGGGGCACUCAUACCCAUAAGGCGCCGCAGAUUAAAGUUACUAAGACGGGCAUAGAUUAUAGUCAUAGUAAGAAGAGGUCGUAUACUUAUAAACCUAAAGCUGAGCCUGAUAGUGAUGUUAAGGAAAUUUUACCUUAAGACUAAAGAAGACGUAGUCACGUAGUACCUAACAUCUCCAUACAAACGUCUGGAUACUAACAUCAAAGAGAAUUGGAAGUAGGAAUAUGGUCAAAGUAAAUUAUGUAUAGUCACUACAUUUACUGCCAUCUUUCGGCACAAAUGAUUAAAACUUUAACGCCAUUUGAGUUCGAUCCUUAUUCUUUUACUUUAUACUUUAUAAUAAAGUUAGGAGCUUUUAGAAAUUUGUUUUUCGCUCCUAACUCUUAUCAAUUUUUUUUUCCGUAAUGGAGGAAAAUACGAACUACGUUUGUAUGGAGAAGCGGCUGUCCCCUAUCUUCUGUAGUAGCUGACAUUUAAAGUGGUCGGAAGUAAAUAUCGACAACGGCAGACGAGAUGACUAUCGUUAAAGCGUUAUUAUACGCAAAGCCUAUGCGUUCGCGUACGUAGGUAGUCAAAAGUAACUAAUUAAGUUGGCAAAGUCUAUAUUCACUGUCUUAUUUCAAAGAUUUAUUUAUAAGCGUGUGAUAAUCGUCUUGUGUAUUUUAUAUAGGAUUAGCAGCAGUAUAUACUGUUUACUACUAUGUAUUAGGUUACUUAGGGAUCUUCUGGUAGUACAUAAUGUAUAAACCCAAAUUUUAUCCAAAUCCAACGAAACAAAUAAUUGUACUACAAAAUAUUAAUCGGCCCACUUAUGUCGGUAAGGAAUUUGAACUGUGCCAGUUCGUCCCUUGUCACAGUGACAAUAAUGACAUUAAUGACCUCAAUCCCUAUAAUAGCGGGUUUCAUAUUGAUUGUCUCUGUGACAAGGUACGAAGUGAUACAGGAAUCUAAUUCCUUGAAUACCUAAGGGUUGGUUCAAUUGCUUUUUGUUAGUGAUAAACUACUGCUAAUACUGACGUGACGUAUAUAUUAUGAUUAAAUAGUUGACGUAGUUUAAAAAAAAUCAGAAGUUCAUGGAAAUAAUGUAGAAGAAAAUUCUAUGAUUAUAGAAUAUGAAAUAUAGAAUUUUGUGACAGUGUCGUAUAAGGGGUGAGCCCGAAUAACAUUAGUUAUAAAUUCCCGUGACGAGUUCCCGAAAAAGUUAUGAAAUAGGUAAGAAAAUAUAUAUUUUUUUAAUUUCAUCCAAAUCAAUCGAAUGUCACAUUGUCACGUCCACCCUCUAUAUGAAAAUCUUAAUUAGGUACUAUACAAGCCUAUAGUAUACGUGAUACAAUUUUAUACAAUAUUAUGUUUUGAUCCUACAAGCUGUGUCACCUGCCACGCGAUAGCAGUUUUAUUCUAUUAUUUUUAUUUUAAGUGAUAAAAAUGUGUUAUUUUAUCGUAGUAAUAAAAUUAGUUUUAUCUGUUUGUAGUUCACUGUGAUUUGUGAUAAUUUGUUCGUGUACAGUCGCCAUCAGAUGUAUCUCAGCGGCCGAGGUGUUCACAAAUAUCUGAACAAAACUUCUAAGCAUGUUCAGAUAUUUUUUUACCACCUUGGCUGCUCAGAUAUAUCUGAUGGCGACUGUACGUAUCUGACUAGCUACGAUCUCUUGCGUGUGUCCGACAUAGGUAUAGUAUGUUUCUUACGUGUGAGAUAAUUAAAGGAAGGAUAAUUUACUUGAGAUAUAAAAUGAAUCGUGUAGUCUAGUAAUAUCAAAACUAUGUAAGAUUUUCUUACGCAUAAGAUGUGUACGUUUGCAUACCUAUAUGUACUAGUUAGCAAUUUAUUUUGUCAUUUACUUUAAUUAAAUAAGUAUGAAACCGA